UGGGGAAUUUUGGAUUAUGGGGGAAACCCUGAUCCAGCCAUCCCGCGUGUGCGAUGAAGGCCUUCGGGUUGUAAAGCACUUUUGGCAGGAAAGAAACGUCAUGGGUUAAUACCCCGUGAAACUGACGGUACCUGCAGAAUAAGCACCGGCUAACUACGUGCCAGCAGCCGCGGUAAUAUGCAGGGUGCAAGCGUUAAUCGGAAUUACUGGGCGUAAAGCGUGCGCAGGCGGUACGGAAAGUAAGAUGUGAAAUCCCAGAGCUCAACUUUGGAACUGCAUUUUUAACGACCGGAGUGGAGUGUGUCAGAGAGAGAUGGAAUUCCGCGUGUAGCAGUGAAAUGCGUAGGUAUGCGGAGGAACACCGGUGGCGAAGGCAGCCUCCUGGGAUAACACUGACGCUAAUGAAGGAAGGCGUGGGAAGCAAACAAG
rnacentral:rRNA from 1 species